rnacentral:tRNA from 1 species
GGAAGGGUCGCAUAGUUGGCCGAGUGCGCGCGACUGGAAAUCGCGUGGGCGUGAUGAGCGCCUCGUGGGUUCGAAUCCCACCCCUUCCGCCC